AGUGAACGCUGGCGGUAGGCCUAACACAUGCAAGUCGAACGGCAGCACAGUAAGAGCUUGCUCUUACGGGUGGCGAGUGGCGGACGGGUGAGGAAUACAUCGGAAUCUACUUUUUCGUGGGGGAUAACGUAGGGAAACUUACGCUAAUACCGCAUACGACCUACGGGUGAAAGCAGGGGAUCUUCGGACCUUGCGCGAUUGAAUGAGCCGAUGUCGGAUUAGCUAGUUGGCGGGGUAAAGGCCCACCAAGGCGACGAUCCGUAGCUGGUCUGAGAGGAGGAGCGGGGAGACGGGAACUGGGGCACGGUCCAGACGCCUACGGGAGGGAGCAGUGGGGAAUAUUGGACAAUGGGCGCAAGCCUGAUCCAGCCAUACCGCGUGGGUGAAGAAGGCCUUCGGGUUGUAAAGCCCUUUUGUUGGGAAAGAAAAGCAGCAGGUUAAUACCCCGCUGUUCUGACGGUACCCAAAGAAUAAGCACCGGCUAACUUCGUG
rnacentral:rRNA from 1 species